UACGUAGGCAGCAAGCGUUGUUCGGAAUUACUGGGCGUAAAGAGUGUGUAGGCGGUGCUCUAAGUCUGUCGUGAAAUCUCCCGGCUCAACUGGGAGGGUGCGCCGAAAACUGGAAUGCUUGAACAUGGGAGAGGAAAGCGGAAUUCCUGGUGUAGCGGUGAAAUGCGUAGAUAUCAGGAGGAACACCUGCGGUGUAGACGGCUUUCUGGACCAUUGUUGACGCUGAGACACGAAAGCGUGGGUAGCAAACAGG
rnacentral:rRNA from 1 species